rnacentral:sRNA from 1 species
UAGUCUAAAUAGUAACUCGUAAGCGUUCUAACCUUAGCGCAGGCUCUGAAAGAGCCCAUUCCCCUAAGCCCCAAUCAGGAUCAGAUUCGGGCUUUUUUUU